rnacentral:tRNA from 1 species
GAUGGUAUAGCUCAGUGACAGAGCACAUGCUUAGCAUGCACGAGGUCCUGGGUUCAGUCCCCAGCACCUCCA